CGCGAAGUAGAGCAGCGGUAGCUCGUCGGGCUCAUAACCCGAAGGUCGGAGGUUCGAACCCUCCCUUCGCAACAA
rnacentral:tRNA from 1 species